rnacentral:rRNA from 1 species
CCUACGGGCGGCAGCAGUGAGGAAUAUUGGUCAAUGGGCGAGAGCCUGAACCAGCCAAGUCGCGUGAGGGAGUACUGCCCUAUGGGUUGUAAACCUCUUUUGUCGGGGAGCAAAAGCCGGACGUGUCCGGCUGUGAGAGUACCCGAAGAAAAAGCAUCGGCUAACUCCGUGCCAGCAGCCGCGGUAAUACGGAGGAUGCGAGCGUUAUCCGGAUUUAUUGGGGUUAAAGGGUGCGCAGGCGGAUUUUUAAGUCAGCAGUCAAAUCGUGGGGCUCAACCCCAUCCAGCCGUUGAAACUGGGGAUCUAGAGUGUGCGAGAGGUAUGCGGAAUGCGUGGUGUAGCGGUGAAAUGCAUAGAUAUCACGAAGAACCCCGAUUGCGAAGGCAGCAUACCGGUGCACAACUGACGCUCAGGCACGAAAGCGUGGGUAUCGAACAGGAUUAGAUACCCGAGUAGUC